UGUGUUCUAUUGAUGGGUCAACAGAAGUUUUCAAUAAAGAAACACACCCUCAUUAUGAAAGCUCCCUUGUUGUCUAAUGUUAGUCUAAGCAAAAUGGAUGUGAAAAGAAAGCCGAAUUGGACUGUGGAAGAAACGGUGAUGUUGGUAGAGGAGGUGAAGGCAAAGAAGGGAAAAUUUAGCCCCACAUUUACAAGUCGACACAAAAAAGAAGUUUGGAAGCAGAUCGCAGACAGCAGACAGUGAGUUUCUCCUCCACCAUUCGGAGGAAUGCAAAAAGAAAUGGCACAAUGUUUUGUCCAAAGCGCGUCAGGAAAUCUCCCCUUUCAAGAAGGCAACAUCUGGCACUGGUGGAGGUCCUGCGCCUAAACCUUUAAGCGCAGUGGCAGAAGUAGUUCUCCACAAUCAGUAGUAAUGCCACAAUCAGUGGAGUGGGCGACUGUCAGGAUGCUGCACUACUCAAACUGCAGACCGUAGUAUGUAAUGCAGAUGAAAACACCAUCUCGUCCCCUCAUGAGCUGCCUGUAGAGGAACUGCCAGCUGCAACAGCACUGCUUCCAGGCCCAUCUGGCAUUCCCUCUCCAGCAGCAGGCCCAGAGCCCCUGCUCCCUGAGCCCCCACUGGCCACUGGCCACUGCCACUCCACGGCUCAACCCGGACGAGGUGGAGGACAUGGAUGCACUGCGGAGAGAAGAGUUGCGGAUGAGCAUAAAAGUUUUAAGGAUGAAGGAGCAUUAUUAUGAACUAAAAAUAAAAAAGAUGAAAUCUUGCCUAUUGCUGUCUUUUAAAAAAAGUCCACU